UGCCAUCCUUUCUCUUUCUUGCUUUCUGGUUUCGAUUGUGUUUGUUUGAUCGAUUCCGCUCGCUGUUCUCCUUCUUCGAUCGAUAGCUCGAGAAAAUCUUGCUUUAUGAUUGCACCAUUAUGCUGCCUUCGUCUAAUGUUCUUUCUGAUAGACGAUCAGUCUUUUCUUUUCCUUUCUGUUGCUACUGAUUAUAACUAUGCGUGUCUUUUUUUUCUGUAGUAGUAGAAGUAUAUGAUCCACACACAGGUACUUCAUAUGAGGAUUAAAGCAACCGAGUUCAUUCAAGAUCAUCAUCCAUCCAUGGAACAAAUCCUUUGCAUAGCAUGAGAAUCAUGCAUGAAUGAUUACAGCAUAGAGGAAAGUAUACAUCAAUCUGUUCAUGCACAUCUCUUCCUCUGUUCCUUUGUAGUUCAUUACAUGCAUUCUUUCCAUGAUUUCUUGCGCUGCUUCCUUCCUCUACACAGCACCAGAAAAUAAACUAUUCUGUUGCAGCUAUCGUUCAGUUGGCAGGAUGCAGUGGAGUCCUAACGAUGGAUGUGAUGAUGACAGAAGAGAGAGAGCACAGCCCAACAUUGGCGAAAGAAUGGCGUUCGCUCUUGCUGGGAGUGUGCUCUCUCCUCUCUCUGUCAUUACCGUCUUUAGGGUUUCUUUACGCGGUCGUGCUUCCUCUUUAACCCACAGCUCGGCGAUGCAACCCUGAUCUCACAUCUUUCUCCCCGUUCACUGACCACCCGAUCGAGAUCGGAAGACUCUUCAUACGUUGUUCCUUGUGUCUUGAAUCAGCGAGACGUCUGCGUGAGCGCACGGGUGAAGGACUUUGCGCAUGAAGAAACAACACUACGAGUGUGGACUUGGCCUGUCGGUGUAUUAUUAGUUCUGUGAUACAUCUUGGCUUACGUUACUGACACACUACCUUUUCUCUC